rnacentral:rRNA from 1 species
UACGUAGGGUGCAAGCGUUGUCCGGAAUUAUUGGGCGUAAAGAGCUCGUAGGCGGUUUGUCGCGUCUGCUGUGAAAACUCGGGGCUUAACCCCGGGCCUGCAGCGGGUACGGGCAGACUAGAGUGCGGUAGGGGAGACUGGAAUUCCUGGUGUAGCGGUGAAAUGCGCAGAUAUCAGGAGGAACACCGGUGGCGAAGGCGGGUCUCUGGGCCGUAACUGACGCUGAGGAGCGAAAGCGUGGGGAGCGAACAGG